rnacentral:rRNA from 1 species
UAAAAUAGAGAGUUUGAUCCUGGCUCAGGAUGAACGCUGGCGGCGUGCCUAACACAUGCAAGUCGAACGAAGCGUCCCGCCCGAAGAGAAGGAGUGCUUGCACAAAUUUAAUUCAAUUGGGACGACUUAGUGGCGGACGGGUGAGUAACGCGUGGGUAACCUGCCUUAUACAGGGGGAUAACAGUUAGAAAUGACUGCUAAUACCGCAUAAGCGCACAGAAUCGCAUGAUACAGUGUGAAAAGCCGAGACGGUAUAAGAUGGACCCGCGUCUG